UCACGUCCUCAUGCUAAAUCGCUCCAAUUGCCGACUUGAGGCCGUGAAAUUUGAGAAACAGGCUUAUGUAGUUAUGAAACCUGAUACGUCUCGAUUCCCGUGUCAAGCAUAAACUGUUAUUUCAAGCAAGAAGCGUUUCCAUCCAGAAAUUUUCUUUCCCAGGAAAAUUCAAUUGUCCCUUACGUAUCUCACCAGCAAUGACUAACCAGACAAACUUAUCAUCCAACGAAUCUCCCACUGCUGCUGCAUGUGAUGUUGAUACAAGAUAU